CUAUCCGGGCGGGGCGGGGAAGACGAAAAGCUCUUGGUGAGGCUGGGCCUUUCUGGGGACGAUGCCGUCCGCAUUCUCAGUGAGCUCGUUCCCCGUCAGCAUCCCCGCCGUGAUCAUGCAGACAGACUGGACGGAGCCGUGGCUGGUCGGGCUGGUCAUCUUCCACGUACUCUGCCUGCUGCUCACCUGCUUCUCAUCCCGGAGGUAUAAGCUACAGGUCGGGCACUUCCUGUGUCUGGGUGAGUAGGACCAGCAGCGAUUCUGUGGCUCAGGUUGCUGUGUGAUAGACAGUGUGCCUAUUCUCUCGUAGCCUCCUGCUGUGUGAAUACAUUUGUAAGGCUUCCAGCUGUGCCUGUCCUGGCGGGAAGUGCCAACCAGGAAGCAAAGUUCUGGGCAUAAAAUGACGUGGUGCCCAAGUCAGUUUUAAAGAUAAUGAGAAGGAGCAGAGUUGUGUGGCAUCCCCACGGAGAAGGAGUGGAGGCUGCAGGUGGCAGUCGUCCACCACCUCCGGUCCCUGUGCAGCUCUUGGCCUCCUGCCCUGGUCCCCACCCCAGCCCGUACCACCAGGGAGGGCCACCCAGGGGCUGGGCUGUUCCUGCUGCUCCUGUUAUCCUCAGGCCAGAUCCCCCCCCCCGCCCCCGUCUUUGCCACCAGCGCAAGUCUGAGGGGCCAGGCAGGGGACCCCAGCCCUUGCCCCAGGGCCCUCGGGUCCCACCACUGGCCUUGCCAGCUGACCUGUGACCAGGUGGGGCAGGCCGGCCUGCUCUGGUGUCUGGCCGGAAGCUCCUGCCGAGGGUGUGCCCAGCGGACUGACCAUCAGACUCCGUGUUCGCCUGGGUUUCCCUUCGAGUGGCUGCCUUCUGUCAGCGACAACAGGAACAGGUCUCAGCAGAUCCCUCUGUGCUGUAGCUGUCGCUUCUUUCCUCUCAGUGACGCUGGUCUACUGCGCCGAGUACAUCAAUGAGGUUGCGGCCAUGAACUGGAGGUGAGAACCAGCGCCCCGCCCGCCCGCCCGCACCCCAGGCUCCUUCCCGGCGGGGAGCUCAGCACCCCGUCUUCUCCGGCGCCCCCGACACGUCCUCGCUGUCCAGGACACCAGCGCACGCCUGUCUCCCUGGCCGCUCCCUCCUCGCCUCUGUGUCCUUCCUGCUGCAGCCUCUGCCGGGGUGACCCACUCCGUGUCCCGUGUCCCGUCCCCACGAAACGUCCGCCCUCCCCGCCCCACCCCCUGCAAACUGUCCCCAGCUGCCUGCUCUGUGGGGGCAGCUGCUUCUCCUGGCCUCUUAGGGCAGAGACCCCGCAGUCAGGCAGGGGUCCUCGGGGACGGCGGAGGGGGGCUUUGAAACCAUCAUUGAGGGGAGCACCCCCCCCCCAGGUCUCCUGACUGCCUCCUUAGGAGCGUCUGACCCCAGGGGUCACGGAGCAGAGUUCUGGCCCCUGGCGCUCAGCCCCCCGGCUGCAGGCCCCUACUGGGGGGUCGGGGGCCCUCCCUCCUCCACAGGCAGACCCCUCCCUCCCCCCCAACGAUUUCCUCGGAGCCCCAGCCUCCCAGGCUGCCUUGGACCCGAUAGGCAGCACCUGUUCCCUGUGACCCCCGAGCCCUGGCGGAGCGGGAGAAGGUCAUAUCCUCGACUGGGUCACUGGCUGGUGACGUGAGGCCUGUGUCCUGCCCCCGCCCGGCCACACGGGUCCCCCGCGCCUGCUCCCCCGCCUGCUCCCCCGCCUGCUCCGGGGCGGGGGCCUGAGCUCGCAGAGGCGGCCACCCACCCUGUCCUGCUUCCCAGGAAGGCCUGCAGAGCCUGCCCUACAGGGUUGAGGAGGCCGCCGGCUCGCGCAGCGGUCUCUGCCCCCACCUCGCCUUCCUGUGUGGAGGUGCCUGCCGGUCCCUGCAUGUCCUCUGUCCCCAGGUGCCUGUGGCCUCGGGCCUGGGUCCUGGUGGGAGGACCCGCCUCGCUGAGGGGCGACGCCGUGAGCAGGGGCCGUCGCAAGGGCCGCUGGGCUGCGCCAGGUAACCGCCAGACCCUUCUGCGCGCAGGUCCUUCUCAAAGUACCAGUAUUUCGACUCGAGGGGGAUGUUCGUGUCCCUGGUCUUCUCGGCACCGCUGCUGCUCAACGCCCUGGCCAUCGUGGUACGUGCACCUGCCCCAGCUCCCUCCUGCUGCCACGGCCUGGUCCCGGCUCUGAGCGCCUCCCCGCGCGGCUCUUUCUAGAUCCUGUGGGUGCGCAAGACGCUGGCGGUGAUGAGCGACCUGAGGACCUUACAGCAGCGCCGGGGGCGGCCGAAGCAGCAGUGACGGCUCUGCCCCCGGCUGGCGCCUGGGCAUCCAGACCCGCCCCGCGUCCCGAGACGCUUGGGCUGGCUUUGAAGGGCGCUCGCCCGGCCUGGGUCCACCCAGAAGGUCUGAGUCUCCCUAGUUAAACUGUAAACGGAGCCCCUGCAGUCAAGCCUGAGCUCGGGACACCCUGUCUGUCCAUGUGGGAGGGUUGAGGGGUGGACAGCGCCAUCCACGCGUGGGCACCCCCAUUGGCCCCUGUCACCCCCACCCUCCCCGUCAGCCCCCUGUCACCUCUAUCACUCCCCCAUCACCCCUGUCACCCCCAUGCUCCCCGUCAGCCCCCUGUCACGGUCACCCCUGUCACCCCUGUCACUGCCAUCACCCUGGUCUGGCCUUCGUGGCGACGGCCUCUCCAGGCAGGGCUGCCGCUGGACAGGGCAGGAGGGGCCGCCUGGCCUCUGUGCAGUUGGAGGCGUCACGGCGCCGGCGGAGGCCGGAGUCGGGAUCUUCAGAGGCGGCAGCCGCGCGAGCCCCUUGAGUUGUGCUUCAGGAAGGAACGUCGCCAUUAAAACAGUCAGCAGCUGCCUGGUUCAACUAAGAGGUUUUAUGGCAAAUACCGAGACGGGUUCUGUCCCUUGGUUCCUGCCUCUUACAUUCUGCUCGGGGACAUGCCACCGCCUCUUCUGUUGGAGCAGGUGCGCUGAUUCGGUGUCACGGCCGCGCUGCGGACUAGACCUGCAGCUGGAGGGUGGGGGCCGCAUGUCUAAACUCAGCGUUUGAGAAAGAGGAGGCGGUUGGCUCCUGAUGGGGUUUGAAAAAAUAGCUUGCGAGCCUUCCUGCUGUGACUCAAAGGGAUCAGCGGCAUCUCUGCAGCGCUGGGCGCGGGUUUGAUCCCUGGCCGGGUGCAGUGGGUUAAGGCUCUGACAGGGCUGCAGCUGCAGUGUAGGUCACGCUGGGACGUGGCUCUGAUCCUGGCCCAGGAAAGCCAUGUGCCAUGGGGUGGCCUGAAAAAAAGAGAGGAAGUAGUUUAUGAAUAGUUGUCUUAAUUUUAAGAAGAUGUUUUCCCUUAAAUGAAGUAUAUUUUUCAAAUUUCAAAAGAAAAAAAAUUGGUCACGUGAAAGCAUUAUAUUUAGUGGUUCAGAGGGUAACACUGCUGGAUGAUGGGAUUAAAUCUUGAAAUCCAGACGUAAAGACAGCUGUAAACUCUUAGCAGAGAAAUUAUUUCCUUAAUUUUGACGUUGGUUUUAGAACCGAGUCGAUAGAACUUCCUAGAUCAAUCUCUUGGAGCUUUUAACCUCACAUCCUUUCUUGAUGUGAACGUCUGUACUGAACAUUGAAAAAAUUGACUCAGCAACAGCAUGUCACGUGAAAUCCAGUUUUAGAUGUCUUGCACCUGAUGACAUCCUGAGGGUGCGUUGCUGAAAGUGACCAGUUCAGGGUGUUCCUUGGUGUCCUGGCUUCAGAAGAGUCGCCUGCAUCUGAGCAGCUCCCGGGAGCCCACAGCGGCAGGGGCUGCGGGCGGGGUCGAGUGUCCCCUCCAGCGCCGGCCUGGGGCCAGGGGACAGAAGUGCCCGUGGCAACGUCCUGCCCUUGCCCUCGGCCCCUCGGAGCCCAGGGAGUGCAGGCAUUUCCACCAUCCGGAGCCACUCCUGUCAGCGCGAGACUGUGACUGGCUCUCAGCUGUCCUGUGAAGACCGGGUAAUGACAUCGUCAUUGGCCUGGAUGUGGGGUCAGACGUCCCGUCGAAAAACACGACGUAGGGCCUUUUUGUUCACUGGUGUGUGUAAGUUUUGGGGAAUCGUUGUGUUUUAUUUUCACAAACACAACCUGUUUUUAAAACUUUUAGUAGGUUUCUCUCCAGUGGCUUAAAGGGCAGUGUUUACGAACACCAGGCGUCCUCAUGCUUGGGACACACUCCAAGCCGUCGCUGUCCCAGCACUUCAGGUCACCUCAAGUGUGGGGACUGUGGCCCUUUCGGGGCAUGGGGGUGCUGCUGGGGCUUGGGGCCUCCAGGCGGGUGGAAGGGCAGCCUGUGUCUGUCAUCUGCGGACGAGAAGACGAGAGACACGCGUGGUCAAGGCGCAUUUAGCCCGUUCCAGACCUGCGACCUUCAGUUUGUCAGUUGCUGUGUAAUAAAGUCUUAUUUUAUUUCAAGUAUCUCCAGGAACCUGGAGUGUUUUUUUUUCUCCACAACUGUACAUGGUUUUGACUCUGCAGAUGGAAGCGGGGGCUCCCAGAGCUGGUGGGCUUGCCUUGGUCCAGUGUCCAAUGCUGGGCUUUCCAAGCUGGGAAGGUCCGUUUCCUUAGUGUCAGCAGAAGGAUGUCGCACAGGCCCAGGUACCCGCCCGUCAAAGAAGCAUGGAUCAGGUCACGGUGACAGGCACUGCUCGCUCUCCCCUUUCCUGUCCUCGCCUUGCUGUGUCCCUGCAACUGCCCGCCCCCCGGCUCUUCUCAGCCCGCAGAGGGAGGUGUGGGGCUGAAACGUGACGGCGCUCCGGUCACCAUAGCUGCCCAGGGCCCGUUGCCGGGUGUGGGGGCCGCGUGGUAAGGGUCUCUGGUCUCCGGCAGCCUUUGGUCCCUGGACCCGAUGCUCUGAAUUUCACCCCGUGUCUCCUGAGGCUCUUUCUUCAGGUUGUGAGGAGUCCCAGCACCGCUAGAAAUCCCAGCACCCACAGGCCAGGUCCGGGCCGCCCUGGGGGAGGGGAACCGGGCCGGAGUCACCCACGGCCUCACAGCCGCACUGAGGGCCCCCCGGCCCGGCUCCCGGGGUCUCUCCGGAGCUUCCGCCGUGGGCUGCUUUGCUGUGUCUUAGUCUCGCUGCGGCUGCAGCAGAAGGAAAUCGUCAAACGUCCACUCGCCGCCCAUUUCUUCUCUGAAAGUCACUUUCUGUGGGUGUUUUUCCAGCCCUUUUAUCCUGGCUGUGUUUCAGGACAGAACAUACGUUUCAACGACCGCCGAGUAGCCAAGGCCUGCGGGUGUAAAGCUGGUUUCCUGAGCGGAUUCGGGAUGUUGGCCAAGCAGAGCUGUGGUCACACUUACCAACCGCACGGGAAGCCGCCCCUUGGGAGCCGGCCCCCGCCCGUCCGUUACCGACUGGGAACAAGUUCCAACAAGGGAAAUGAAGUCAAAACACACGAACGUUUGAUGGCAGUUGAUGACAGUAAAUCAGUGUUGGGAGAGCGGGCGCCGGCAUCAGGGCCCUGAAUCCGUCGAGAGCCGCAGGAAAGAUGCUUUAGGGGGAGUUCCCUGGGGGUCUAGUGGUUAGGACUCGGGGCCGUCACCGCUGCGGCCCAGGUUCAUUCCGUCUUCCGGGAACUGAGCCAUUGCCUGUGUUGGCCAAAAAGAAAAAGUUAAAAAAAAAAAAAAAA
rnacentral:lncRNA from 1 species